GAUCCUGGCUCAGGAUGAACGCUAGCUACAGGCUUAACACAUGCAAGUCGAGGGGAAACGGCGUCGAAAGCUUGCUUUUGAUGGGCGUCGACCGGCGCACGGGUGAGUAACGCGUAUCCAACCUGCCCAUCACUUGGGAAUAACCUUGCGAAAGUAAGACUAAUGCCCAAUGAUAUCCCACGAAGGCAUCCGAAUGGGAUUAAAGAUUUAUCGGUGAUGGAUGGGGAUGCGUCUGAUUAG
rnacentral:rRNA from 1 species